ACUCCUACGGGAGGCAGCAGUGGGGAAUAUUGCACAAUGGGCGCAAGCCUGAUGCAGCAACGCCGCGUGAGGGAUGACGGCCUUCGGGUUGUAAACCUCUUUUAGCAGGGAAGAAGCGUGAGUGACGGUACCUGCAGAAAAAGCGCCGGCUAACUACGUGCCAGCAGCCGCGGUAAUACGUAGGGCGCAAGCGUUAUCCGGAAUUAUUGGGCGUAAAGAGCUCGUAGGCGGUUUGUCGCGUCUGCUGUGAAAUCCCGAGGCUCAACCUCGGGCCUGCAGUGGGUACGGGCAGACUAGAGUGCGGUAGGGGAGAUUGGAAUUCCUGGUGUAGCGGUGGAAUGCGCAGAUAUCAGGAGGAACACCGAUGGCGAAGGCAGAUCUCUGGGCCGUAACUGACGCUGAGGAGCGAAAGGGUGGGGAGCAAACAGGCUUAGAUACCCUGGUAGUCCACCCCGUAAACGUUGGGAACUAGUUGUGGGGACCAUUCCACGGUUUCCGUGACGCAGCUAACGCAUUAAGUUCCCCGCCUGGGGAGUACGGCCGCAAGGCUAAAACUCAAAGGAAUUGACGG
rnacentral:rRNA from 1 species